GGGACGGGGGGACGGAUCAGGAGGGGUGGGACCGCCCUGCUCACCGUGGCACCGGGACCGGGGUCCCUAUCACACCCUAAGCCCCGGGUUCCUGUCGUCCCACCUUCUCAGCCUCCUUGCUCUGGGCUUGGCCGUGCCUGUCCCAUCCCUACUUGUCCCCUCUCCUCUUCCCUGGUCCUUCCUGCCAGAAUGUGAACGUCCUCAACGGCCUCCGGUCAGAGAACAACACAACUUUUCCUUCACACUUGCCGUCUUUCCUGUCCCAGCUAGAAGACUUGGAAAGAACUCCACUUCUGGGAGACAAGAUGCAAAUCAAGUUGAACCUACCCAAAUGUCUGGACUGGGAAAUGUAGCAGCUGUGCACGGUCUCCCCUGUGGACCCUUGGGGUCAACUCUCCACACAGCAGCCAGCGUAAGCUUUGAAAAUCGUGGGCCGAGCCACGUCACCCUCACCCUCUCUCUGGAAGCCCUCAUGUGGCUGUCACACACAGAAUACAAAUCUAACCUCAUCACCACA